rnacentral:rRNA from 1 species
AGCUCUGUAAGCGUAUAUCAAAGUUGUUGCAGUUAAAACGCUCGUAGUCGAACCUUGGCGGGUGGCGUGGUGCAUCCGAGAGGGUGUUUUGCCGCGUUUUUAUGUUAACCCGCCUUCGUGGAUGGCGGCUUGGUGGUGCUUCAUUGCCUCGCCUUGCUCCGCUGCCACCGUUUACUGUGAAAAAAUUAGAGUGUUCAAAGCAAGCGAUUGCCCUGAAUACAUUAGCAUGGAAUAAUAGAAUAGGACCUGGUCUUAUUUUGUUGGUUUUGUUGAGUUCAGGUAAUGAUUAACAGGGACGGUCGGGGGCAUUUGUAUUCCUUGGCGAGAGGUGAAAUUCUUAGACCCUUGGAAGACAACCAGCUGCGAAAGCGUCUGCCAAGGACGUUUUCA